rnacentral:rRNA from 1 species
UCUUGAGAGCGGCGGACGGGUGAGUAACGCGUAGGAAUCUACCUGGUAGUGGGGGACAACAUUCGGAAACGGAUGCUAAUACCGCAUACGCCCUACGGGGGAAAGGAGGGGAUCUUCGGACCUUUCGCUAUCAGAUGAGCCUGCGUAGGAUUAGCUAGUUGGUGGGGUAAAGGCCCACCAAGGCGACGAUCCUUAGCUGGUCUGAGAGGAUGACCAGCCACACUGGGACUGAGACACGGCCCAGACUCCUACGGGAGGCAGCAGUGGGGAAUAUUGGACAAUGGGGGCAACCCUGAUCCAGCCAUGCCGCGUGUGUGAAGAAGGCCUUCGGGUUGUAAAGCACUUUCAGUGGUGAGGAAAGGGUAACCGCUAAUAUCGGUUAUCUGUGACGUUAGCCACAGAAGAAGCACCGGCUAAUUCCGUGCCAGCAGCCGCGGUAAUACGGAAGGUGCGAGCGUUAAUCGGAAUAACUGGGCGUAAAGCGCGCGUAGGUGGUUGAGUCAGUCAGAUGUGAAAGCCCCGGGCUUAACCUGGGAACUGCACCUGAUACUGCUUAACUAGAGUACGGUAGAGGGCAGUGGAAUUUCCUGUGUAGCGGUGAAAUGCGUAGAUAUAGGAAGGAACACCAGUGGCGAAGGCGACUGCCUGGACUGAUACUGACACUGAGGUGCGAAAGCGUGGGUAGCAAACAGGAUUAGAUACCCUGGUAGUCCACGCCGUAAACGAUGUCGACUAGCCGUUGGGAGACUUG